CACGAACGCUGGCGGCAGGCCUAACACAUGCAAGUCGAACGCUCCAGCAAUGGAGAGUGGCAGACGGGUGAGUAACGCGUGGGAACCUACCCUUUGGUUCGGAAUAGCCCAGGGAAACUUGGGGUAAUACCGGAUAAGCCCUUCGGGGGAAAGAUUUAUCGCCAAUGGAUGGGCCCGCGUCGGGUUAGCUAGUUGGUGGGGUAACGGCCUACCAAGGCGACGAUCCGUAGCUGGUCUGAGAGGAUGAUCAGCCACACUGGGACUGAGACACGGCCCAGACUCCUACGGGAGGCAGCAGUGGGGAAUAUUGGACAAUGGGCGCAAGCCUGAUCCAGCCAUGCCGCGUGAGUGACGAAGGUCUUCGGAUUGUAAAGCUCUUUUGGCGGGGACGAUAAUGAUGGUACCCGCAGAAUAAGCCCCGGCUAACUUCGUGCCAGCCGCCGCAGUAACAC
rnacentral:rRNA from 1 species